rnacentral:ncRNA from 1 species
GAAACUUGUUGUUGUGCUACCACGUUAAAUAAAGCACAUCCCUUAAAUUGCUGGGAAACCCUUAGAGCUUACUUGACUACAGCAUGAUAGCCUGUUAAGGUUAUGGGUGCGAAUGUUUGAAAACAAGUAAGAUUUGGGCUAUCAGCAGCCAAGCCCGUAAGGGAAGGUUCAGAGACUAGCCGUGAGGCGUAGGUAGCAAGUGCUAUCGAAAAAGGGGAUACCUAAACGUAAAGUCGUAGGUAAAGAUAUAGUCCAGUCUUAUAGGAAACUAUAAG